GCCCACGUAGCUCAGACGGUAGAGCGCUUCCUUGGUAAGGAAGAGGUUCACCGGUUCGAUUCCGGUCGUGGGCU
rnacentral:tRNA from 1 species